CACGUAGGUGGCAAGCGUUGUCCGGAUUUACUGGGCGUAAAGAGCGCGCAGGCGGUCGGCCAAGUCGGAUGUGAAAGCCCCCGGCCCAACUGGGGAGGGUCAUUCGAUACUGGUCGACUCGAAGGCAGGAGAGGGAAGCGGAAUUCCCGGUGUAGUGGUGAAAUGCGUAGAUAUCGGGAGGAACACCAGUGGCGAAGGCGACUUCCUGGCCUGUUCUUGACGCUGAGGCGCGAAAGCUAGGGUAGCAAACGGG
rnacentral:rRNA from 1 species